rnacentral:rRNA from 1 species
GACAGAGGGUGCAAACGUUGUUCGGAAUUACUGGGCGUAAAGCGAGUGUAGGCGGUUCCUAAGUCAGGUGUGAAAGCCCCGGGCUCAACCCGGGAAGUGCACUUGAAACUGGGAGGCUAGAGUAUCGGAGAGGUUGGUGGAAUUCUCGGUGUAGAGGUGAAAUUCGUAGAUAUCGAGAGGAACACCGGUGGCGAAGGCGGCCAACUGGACGAAUACUGACGCUGAGACUCGAAAGCGUGGGGGAGCAAACAGG